AUUAACGCUAGCGGCAGGCCUAAUACAUGCAAGUCGAACGGUAACAGGUGUAGCAAUACAUGCUGACGAGUGGCACACGGGUGCGUAACGCGUAUGCAACCUACCUAUGACUGGGGAAUAGCCUUCUGAAAGGAAGAUUAACACCGCAUAACAUCACGAAGCGGCAUCGUUUUGUGAUCAAAUCUCCGGAGGUCAUAGAUGGGCAUGCGUGACAUUAGCUAGUUGGUGUGGUAACGGCUCACCAAGGCGACGAUGUCUAGGGGGUCUGAGAGGAUGAUCCCCCACACUGGUACUGAGACACGGACCAGACUCCUACGGGAGGCAGCAGUAAGGAAUAUUGGACAAUGGGCGCAAGCCUGAUCCAGCCAUGCCGCGCGAAGGAUGAAGGCCCUCUGGGUUGUAAACUUCUUUAUACGGGAAUAAACCUCUGUUUUAUAACGGAGCUGAAUGUACCGUAAGAAUAAGGAUCGGCUAACUUCGUGCCAGCAGCCGCGGUAAUACGAAGGAUCCAAGCGUUAUCCGGAUUUAUUGGGUUUAAAGGGUGCGUAGGCGGACUAUUAAGUCAGUGGUGAAAGCCUGCAGCUUAACUGCAGAAUUGCCAUUGAUACUGAUAGUCUUGAGUACAUUUGAGGUGGGCGGAAUGUGUCAUGUAGUGGUGAAAUACUUAGAUAUGACACAGAACUCCGAUUGCGAAGGCAGCUCACUAAACUGUAACUGACGCUGAGGCACGAAAGCGUGGGGACCAAACAGGAUUAGAUACCCUGGUAGUCCACGCCGUAAACGAUGGGCACUAGGUGCUCCGGGGAGCGACCCUUGGAGUACCGGCGCUAACGCAUGAAGUGCCCCGCCUGGGGAGUACGGCCGCAAGGCUGAAACUCAAAGGAAUUGACGGGGGCCCGCACAAGCGGUGGAGCAUGUGGUUUAAUUCGACGCAACGCGCAGAACCUUACCUAGGCUUGACAUGCUGGGGAAACUGCCUGGAAACAGGUGGCCCUCUUCGGAGCUCCAGCACAGGUGCUGCAUGGCUGUCGUCAGCUCGUGUCGUGAGAUGUUGGGUUAAGUCCCGCAACGAGCGCAACCCCCGCCCCGUGUUGCUAACAGGGUGCAAACUGCUGAGGACUCUCGGGGGACUGCCGGUGCCAAACCGGAGGAAGGUGGGAACGACGUCAAGUCAUCAUGGUCCUUACGUCUAGGGCUACACACGUGCUACAAUGGCCGGUACAGUGGGCUGCGAGCCAGUAAUGGCGAGCCAAUCCUUCAAAGCCGGUCUCAGUGCGGAUUGGGGGCUGCAACCCGCCCCCAUGAAGCUGGAAUCGCUAGUAAUCGUGGAUCAGCUGCGCCACGGUGAAUACGUUCCCGGGCCUUGUACACACCGCCCGUCACGCCAUGGAAGCUCGGAGUGCCCGAAGUCGGUGCCGAAACCUGCAAAGGGUCAAGCCGCCGAAGGCAAGC
rnacentral:rRNA from 1 species